AAAGACUGACGCUCAGGCACGAAAGCGUGGGGAUCAAACAGGAUUAGAUACCCUGGUAGUCCACGCUGUAAACGAUGAUCACUCGUUGUUAGCGAUAUACUGUUAGCGACUGAGCGAAAGCAUUAAGUGAUCCACCUGGGGAGUACGGCGGCAACGUUGAAACUCAAAGGAAUUGACGGGGGCCCGCACAAGCGGAGGAGCAUGUGGUUUAAUUCGAUGAUACGCGAGGAACCUUACCUGGGCUUAAAUGUAGGACGACGUUUCGUGAAAGCGGAAUUUCCUUCGGGACGUCUUACAAGGUGCUGCAUGGUUGUCGUCAGCUCGUGCCGUGAGGUGUCGGGUUAAGUCCCAUAACGAGCGCAACCCCUAUCAUUAGUUGCCAUCAGGUCAAGCUGGGAACUCUAAUGAAACUGCCUACGCAAGUAGUGAGGAAGGUGGGGAUGACGUCAAAUCAGCACGGCCCUUAUGUCCAGGGCGACACACGUGCUACAAUGGCCAGUACAGAGGGUUGCGAA
rnacentral:rRNA from 1 species